rnacentral:rRNA from 1 species
UACAGACGGCGCAAGCGUUAUCCGGAAUGAUUGGGCGUAAAGCGCACGUAGGCGGCUUUGUAAGACAGAUGUGAAAUCCCCGGGCUCAACCUGGGAACUGCAUUUGUGACUGCAUAGCUAGAGUACGGUAGAGGGGAGUGGAAUUCCGCGUGUAGGCAGUGAAAUGCGUAGAUAUGACGGAGGAACACCGAUGGCGAAGGCAAUCCCCUGGACCUGUACUGACGCUCAUGCACGAAAGCGUGGGGAGCAAACAGG